ACUUUAAUGAUCUUGAGGAAGCUGCCAGGAUAAAAACACAUGCUAAAUUCCUAUACUCAACAACUCUGGCAAGCAUAACAAUAAGCGUUAUAUAGUGUUACAAUUACGUUUCAUUGUGAAGUGUGGCUUUCUUCAAACAAACAAAAACUCUGAACUUAGAUUGGCUGAUUUAUCUAGGAGCCCACAAAGGCAACUCCAUGUGGACUGACUGUGUAAAAAUGGCAACGUUAAGCUGCCUCUUAGUAGCACUAGCAAGGAACAGGGUUCAGUGCUUCCUGCCUAGUCACUGUGGAAACCUGUCAGUAAAAUAGACUAACACUAUUCCCCCUACCCCCC